ensembl:misc_RNA 7SK 7SK RNA
GGAUGUGAGGGCGAUCUGGCUGCGACAUCUGUCACCCCAUUGAUCGCCAGGGUUGAUUCAGCUGAUCUGGCUGGCUAGGCAGGUGUCCCCUUCCUCCCUCACCGCUCCAUGUGCGUCCCUCCCGAAGCUGCGCGCUUGGUCGAAGAGGACGACCACCCCCGAUAGAGGAGGACCGUUUCCUCGGUCAAGAGUAUAUGAGUAGCUGCGCUCCCCUGCUAGAACCUCCAAACAAGCUCUCAAGAAUUUUCAGGGCAUCCUGAGUUUAUUUGAUAAAAUUUUGGCUAAUUCCUCAAAUUUACUGGUGA